UACGGGGGGGGCAAGCGUUGUUCGGAAUUACUGGGCGUAAAGGGUUUGUAGGUGGCCUGCUAAGUCAGACGUGAAAUCCCUCAGCUUAACUGGGGAACUGCGUCUGAGACUGGUAGGCUCGAGGACAGGAGAGGAACGCGGAAUUCCAGGUGUAGCGGUGAAAUGCGUAGAUAUCUGGAGGAACACCGGUGGCGAAGGCGCCACUCUGGGCCGGUACUGACGCUGAGGAGCGAAAGCGUGGGGAGCGAACAGG
rnacentral:rRNA from 1 species